rnacentral:rRNA from 1 species
GACGAACGCUGGCGGCGUGCCUAAUACAUGCAAGUCGAACGCAGUGGGGACGGGUGAGUAACACGUGGGUAACCUCCCAUCAGAGGGGAUAACACUUGGAAACAGGGGCUAAACCGAUACUGAUGGAUGGACCCGCGGUUCAUUAGCUAGUUGGUGAGGUAACGGCUCACCAAAGCCACGAUGCAUAGCCGACCUGAGAGAGUGAUCUGCCACACGUGGACGUUGACUCGGCCCAGACUCCUACGGGAGGCAGCAGUAGGGAAUCUUCGGCAAGGGACGAAAGUCUGACCGAGCAACGCCGCGUGAGUGAAGAAGGUUUUCGGAUCGUAAAACUCUGUGGUUAGAUAAGCGGUAUCUAACCAGAAAGCAACGGCUAACUACGUGCCAGCAGCCGCGGUAAUUC